rnacentral:tRNA from 1 species
UCUAACGUGGCAGAUAAGUGCGGUGGAUUUAAGCUCCACCUAUAAAGCUCGAGCUUUCUUUAGAA